UUAGCUGGAACUAUACAGAGAGGAUUAGCAUGGCCCCUGUACAAGAAUGACAUGCAAAUUUAUGAAGUGUUCCAUAAAAAA
rnacentral:snRNA from 1 species